rnacentral:rRNA from 1 species
UGGUGGAGUGAUUUGUCUGGUUAAUUCCGUUAACGAACGAGACCUCGACCUGCUAACUAGUGCACUCCAGUGUUCGCACUGGAGUCGUGACGCACUUCUUAGAGGGACUAUCGGGCUGCAACCGAUGGAAGUUCGAGGCAAUAACA